rnacentral:lncRNA from 1 species
AUGAUUGCUUUCUCAAAUAAACACAAAGGCAUGGUUUUCUUGCUUAAUAGGAAGCACGGGUCUCUGACCUUAAUUCUCCUUGAAAAUCCAUUUGCUGUCCAGAGCAAGAAUCCUGAAACACAAAUGAACCGCUCACCCAGUUCAGCAUUUCAGCUGCUGAGGCAGUAUCACUUUGCAGUCUGGGCAGGAUGAAGUUCGACUGGGCGCACUGGGCUCAGUCCCAAGAGGAGCAAACCACAGCCAAGCUUCUUUGUUUCUGAAGCAUGUUGGAGAAAGGUAGGGUUGCUCUGCCCAGGAAGUAGAUUUUUACAUUUUACAAAGGACGAAGGAAAACUGCAAUAAGAAGAACCAUUCAUGAUCCCCCAGGAUCAUGCCCAACAGCCUCACGAAGUGUGGAAAUAGCCUGGCUAAGUAAGAGAGAGAUAAAUCAAAUCCUGUAGUUUUCUGUCAGCCGCUUUAAUUGUUUCUUUCCAUGCUGUCAUCCUUUGCUUUUCCUGCAGUAUUCUGCUAAACCAUUCCAUGGGCUGAUUGAGUGUAUGCAUGUGAAGCUUUGUAUAGAAUAAAUAAUUACACAAGACAUUUCUGAAAGCAUAAAUGCAUGUGGCCUAACAAAACUAAUUCACAUCUUAAAAAGCCAGCUUCUCCAAAUGUCAGUUAUGUGAGCUAACUAUUUCUCCAGCAACCUAGCAAUUUAAUUCUUUACCCUUAUCUCCUUGGCCAUACUACACACAAAUGGUUUUCAGAAUAGGAAAGAAAAAAAAAGACCUUCCGGUGUCUGUUUUAAGCUUGUUUUUAUCUACUUUAUGUCUCUAACUUUGUCCUUAUAUUUGUUUCACAGCAAAAACAAAAUAGAGAAAAGAUAUCAACCAUGUCCCCAAAGGUUUAUAUAUCUGUAAGUUCCCUUUCGCUAUUCUGUUUUAUAGCAUAGAUCUUGUCCACAGACUAUAAACAUCUACUUCCCUCACUUCUUCAAAUGUCUUUUUGAGGCUGAUGAAGGAAGGGAUUGCUAGUCAAAUGUGAGUGUCUCUCCAGGAUGGUCCUAAUAGCCGCUAUUUCUGCUGCAAGGAAUCUAUAAUUGCCUGAUUGCUUGAUCUUCUUCAAAAGAAGAAACUGAAAUCAUGCUGGAACUAGAAAGAGCCAAGAUGAGUUGUGUUUCUAAGCCCCUGGCCCUGACUCCAUCCAAUAGCUGUCACCUGACAAAUCC